GGCGGCGAAGGUGACCGCGUCCUGGGGCUGCCGCACCAGCAGGAAGAGCAGGAAGUCGGAGAUGAGAGCCUGGGCGUCGGGAUGCUGCCGCAGGGGCUUCUUGCGGAACACGGGCGGAGACUCAAUCUCAUCUGCGUGGGAAAGGAGGAAGGCUGCGGACCCCUGCACCCCAACACCUGCCUCCAGAUGGAGGCCCCAGACCCCGAGUCGGAAGGCACGGACUUGGUCAACCCUCAGGAUUCUGCCCACUUGGUCUGAGCUGCCGGAAGGGCUCCUAACAGAGGUCUACCAGGUAUUCUGUCACAACACUGGAAAGCUGACACAGUCCUGGGUGUCACCACCCAACAUACACAGUGGCUCACCCAUCUGAGAGCAGGUA